rnacentral:rRNA from 1 species
GACGAACGCUGGCGGCGUGCUUAACACAUGCAAGUCGAACGAAGAGCGAUGGAAGCUUGCUUCUAUCAAUCUUAGUGGCGAACGGGUGAGUAACGCGUAAUCAACCUGCCCUUCAGAGGGGGACAACAGUUGGAAACGACUGCUAAUACCGCAUACGAUCUAACCUCGGCAUCGAGGAUAGAUGAAAGGUGGCCUCUACAUGUAAGCUAUCACUGAAGGAGGGGAUUGCGUCUGAUUAGCUAGUUGGAGGGGUAACGGCCCACCAAGGCGAUGAUCAGUAGCCGGUCUGAGAGGAUGAACGGCCACAUUGGGACUGAGACACGGCCCAGACUCCUACGGGAGGCAGCAGUGGGGAAUCUUCCGCAAUGGACGAAAGUCUGACGGAGCAACGCCGCGUGAGUGAUGACGGCCUUCGGGUUGUAAAGCUCUGUUAAUCGGGACGAAAGGCCUUCUUGCGAAUAGUUAGAAGGAUUGACGGUACCGGAAUA